CAACCUGAACUCAGUCGUGAUUACCCGCUGAACUUAAGCAUAUCAUUUAGCGGAGGAAAAGAAACUAAAAAGGAUUCCCCUAGUAACGGCGAGUGAAACGGGAAGAGCCCAGCGCCGAAUCGAUCAGUCUUUGGCUGCUUCGAAAUGUGGCGUAUAGGUGUAGUCUUCCAGCAGUGUCGUAUGUCCGAAGUCCUUGCGAUUGAGGCCAUAAACCAGAGAGGGUGCGAGCCCCGUUCUGGAUAGCGGCGCUGUUGGUUCGACUGCUCCUUGGAGUCGGGUUGCUUGAAAGUGCAGCCUAAAGUGGGUGAUAAACUUCAUCUAAGGCUAAAUAUUGACUCGAUUGCGAUAGCGAACAAGUACCGUGAGGGAAAGUUAGGCAAAGGACUUUGAAGAGAGAGUUCAAGAGAACGUGAAAUCGCUGGAGUGGAACCGGAGACAGUUGAUGUUG
rfam:Caenorhabditis japonica strain DF5081 Contig8251.1, whole genome shotgun sequence.